rnacentral:rRNA from 1 species
UUUUUAUGGAGAGUUUGAUCCUGGCUCAGGAUGAACGCUGGCGGCGUGCCUAAUACAUGCAAGUCGAGCGAACAGACGAGGAGCUUGCUCCUCUAACGUUAGCGGCGGACGGGUGAGUAACACGUGGAUAACCUACCUAUAAGACUGGGAUAACUUCGGGAAACCGGAGCUAAUACCGGAUAAUAUAUUGAACCGCAUGGUUCAAUAGUGAAAGACGGUUUUGCUGUCACUUAUAGAUGGAUCCGCGCCGCAUUAGCUAGUUGGUAAGGUAACAGCUUACCAAGGCAA